rnacentral:rRNA from 1 species
GACGAACGCUGGCGGCGUGCUUAACACAUGCGAGUCGAACGGAAAGGCCCUGCUUUUGUGGGGUGCUCGAGUGGCGAACGGGUGAGUAACACGUGAGUAACCUGCCCUUGACUUUGGGAUAACUUCAGGAAACUGGGGCUAAUACCGGAUAGGAGCUCCUGCUGCAUGGUGGGGGUUGGAAAGUUUCGGCGGUUGGGGAUGGACUCGCGGCUUAUCAGCUUGUUGGUGGGGUAGUGGCUUACCAAGGCUUUGACGGGUAGCCGGCCUGAGAGGGUGACCGGCAACAUUGGGACUGAGAUACGGCCCAGACUCCUACGGGAGGCAGCAGUGGGGAAUAUUGCACAAUGGGCGGAAGCCUGAUGAAGCAACGCCGCGUGCGGGAUGACGGCCUUCGGGUUGUAAACCGCUUUCGCCUGUGACGAAGCGUGAGUGACGGUAAUGGGUAAAGAAGCACCGGCUAACUACGUG